AGCCUUUAUUUGCAGAAAGCCUCUGAUCUUGAUCUAAAAUCAAUGUCAUCGUGCCGCUGAUCCACUUAGCAUGGGCUGCGUUUGUUAGGAGUGCAUUUGGACUUAAUGUGAAGGAGUCAGCUUCUGUACGUCUGUUGAAUGCUUUUGCUUACUCCUAUUUGGACAAAAACAUUAUUCAAGCCUUUCCGCAAAGGCUUCUCUAAGUUAAUUAUUCAGGCAGGGACUUGAACUCGAGAGGAUUUGCACACAUGCUCACCUUGCACCUUGUGUGUGAACAGCCCAGACCUAUCUCGUUCUUUGCAAAUGCUCCGAUUCACCACAAUUUGUUUUUCUGAAGAACACAUAAUGAUGUGUGAAAAAAACUAAACAAGGCCGGAUAUUUCUUCCUUGGAAUGGCUAAAACAUAACAAAUAUGGUAUGAUGCUUGGCAGAACAGGUUGUAACCAAAUCUGGCUGGCGUUUGAGGAGCGUGGAGUUGGCAGAUGAUACACAACCUGCCAGCGUUGACCACAGAUGGCUGUUCCUCCGCUGUGGUCAUAGUGCUGAUCUCGUCACAGAUGGCUGUUCCUCUGCUGUGGUCAUAGCGCUGAUCUUGUCACAGACGGCUGUUCCUCCGCUGUGGUCAUAGCGCUGAUCUCGUCACAGACGGCUGUUCCUCCGCUGUGGUCAUAGCGCUGAUCUCGUCACAGACGGCUGUUCCUCCGCUGUGGUCAUAGCGCUGAUCUCGUCACAGAUGGCUGUCCCUCCGCUGUGGUCAUAGCGCUGAUCUCGUCACAGACGGCUGUUCCUCCGCUGUGGUCAUAGCGCUGAUCUCGUCACAGACGGCUGUUCCUCCGCUGUGGUCAUAGCGCUGAUCUCGUCACAGAUGGCUGUUCCUCCGCUGUGGUCAUAGUGCUGAUCUUGCUGUUGCUGUCCAGGUGGACGGAUGUUUACAAAGCCAUGAUAAAAAUGACUCAAGAGGUGAAGACUAGGACUGUGGGUACCCGGCAGCUCCAUCCUGAAGACAGCACUUGGCUUUGCUGUCGGCACCCUUGGUGCCUCUUGUCCGAGCAGCACUGAC
rnacentral:lncRNA from 1 species